rnacentral:lncRNA from 1 species
GUCAAUAUUUCCGCACCAUCCUCGGUAAUCAGUAUGGUGUGUUCGAAUUGUGCUGACAAGCUGCCAUCUUCCGUCACUGCUGUCCAGUCAUCGGACCACAUGACAGGAUUUAUGCUCCCCAAGGUUAGCAUGGGCUCUGAUGACAAAAAACGGGUGAUGAAGUGAGCUUCAUAUGCUUUGUCUUGUUGCGGUAUGUAAUGUAAAAAAAACUAUGCUUUCUAGCCAUUAAAACAACUAGAUGGCAGUAGUGUAAAAAACUAUGCUCAAGAGUAAAAAAAACUAGUACUUGUGUGCACAAAGAUGGCAGUGAGCAAAUGGUGUGAUCUUAGAUCGUGCCUGAAAGAAAUGCAAUGUACCUGUUAUUUUUUAAACAUGUUAGCCCUAGGCAUGACAGAAUGUGAAAUUUUAAUCAGGUCGAUGGACAAGAGCAACAAUUUUAGUUACAGGUGAAACAAGGGCAAGCUGUGGAAACAUGUACCUAUAGUAAAUGUUUGAUUCAACAUCAUACGACCCCAUUCAUUGUUUCCUGCAAAAUCCCUAAGUCAUUACUCCACAGCACAGAUAUUAAAUCCUAAUGCUGAUAUGGUAGCACAAUAUAAAAGCAGUGCAACUAGAAGCUCGAGAUUGUUGAGACAUAAGCCAGCAUUUAGUAAAAUGAUGUUUUCUUAAAGUGGGAAACUCACUGAAAUGAAGCACAACAGGCUCAGCAUGAAACACUUUUCCUACCCCGUGGCCAACAAAAUGCCGGACUACACCAAACUUGAAUUUAUCUGCAUGAUCCCUUCAAAGAUUAAAUGUCGUAAGUAUCAGCCUGCUAAUGAAUCAAUGACUAGAAGUCUACAGAAGGAAUAAGAGUUCAUUUUGAUUAUCAAAUCUGUUACAGAAACAACACUACACUAGCAUACAGUCUGCAACAAAGCAGUGUCAAUUAAUCAGAAAUCUGUACACUAAGACAAUAAUAAAGCUAAUGACGAUACAACUUAUUGAUAAACUGUAUGUUGUUUUUAACAUAAUAUAAUGAAAAUACUCCGUGCAUCUGUUCAAGAGCAUUGAUUAUUAUAAAUAAAAAAACAUUCCCAUGGUCAUUUGAAUUUCAUCUCUAGCCUACACCAACUUGCUUAGGACUAAAAGGCUUUGUUGUUGUUGGUUGCUGUUCACUAGUAUAAAAAUCAAGUGAAGUCCUGUGAUAGAUGUACCAUAACCAAAAAGUGUCGACUUAUAGAUUUAUUCAGAGCUUAACCAAAUAGUUCAAGAAUAAGCACUGUAUAAAAAAAUAACGAUGAAAAAGAUACAAGCCCAUAUGCAAAUCCAGUGAUAUAGCUUCUCAUUUACAUACUGUAUAGUUCUACCAAUUCGUUUGAUCUCCACCCCAGGAGCACAGAUUGAUAUAGCCUUGUCAAGACAUUCUUUUGUCACCUGAUUGGACAAAAGGUUACAUUAAACUCAGAAUCAAUCAUCAUAGUAAAUAAUUUUUUUAGAUAAGAGAAACUUUUAUCAUCAAGAAACUGUGAGAAAAUCAUCAAUUAAGGAAAACAAAAGUACCUUGGUCUAACAUUCUAUCAUCGAUGAUAUCUCUUAAAUACACGAUAUAAUUUUUUUUGCAAAUAGAAUACAGUAUUCCGAAUUCUAUUGUACUUUAUUACUUAAGACUGAACACUAGUUGAGAUCACCUGAACUAAUUUCUUAGCUUCAUCAUCAACAUCGCCACAGAGAAAUGUAGCGGAUGUAUCACCAUGGUAGCCCUGGAAUAGAACAUAAUAAAUAUCAUACAGUUGCAAUAGAACAUCUCAGAAAUGGCUGCAGCAUAACAACACGUGUUAAAAAAAUCAAAAUUGCAGUGAUCCAUAUCCAUAACAGAUGGGACUGAACUGAUAUGGGCAUGAACCAAAAUAAAAAAAAUAAAAAAAAUCUCUAGCAUAUGUGUAGAUUUUGUGUACCAUUCUAAUGAAAGGUUGUGCGUGACAGUGCAAGGAAUCAAAAAACAAGAUAUCUCUCAAGGAAAUCAUUAAAAAGGUUAUUCAGGAAAAAAAUCUAAAGCAUUGAUGACGUUUAAGUAAGCGAAGUGAUUUGUUUCUUUUUUCCUUAGUGAUGGAAGCAAAGAAGUUUCAAAGAAACCAAAAGGACAGUCAUUUCAGCUGGUAUAGAUAAGUUUUGAGUGGCUUACAUUGAGGUAGACAGUAACAUCAAUAUUGAUGAUAUCGCCAUCCUGCCACAAAGAAGGUUAAUUGUAACUGUUUUCUAUGUACUCAAAGGUGCUGCCUUGAUUUUGGAUGCCUAACCUCAAGUGGACGAGAAUCUGGUAUCCCAUGACAGAUGCAUUCAUUCACUGAAGUGCAGACACUCUUUGGGUAUCCGCAAUAACCAAGUGGUGAAGGAUAUGCUCC